rnacentral:rRNA from 1 species
UACGGAGGGGGCGAGCGUUGUCCGAAGUUACUGGGCGUGAAGCGCGUGUAGGCGGGUUGUCAAGUCCGCUGUGAAAGCCCGAGGCUCAACCUCGGAGGGUCGGUGGAUACUGACAGUCUUGAAGGUGCUAGGGGGAGAUGGAAUUACCGGUGUAGCGGUGAAAUGCGUAGAGAUCGGUAGGAACACCAGUGGCGAAGGCGGUCUCCUGGGGCAUUCUUGACGCUGAGACGCGAAAGCUGGGGGAGCAAACGGG